AUUGAACGCUAGCGGGAUGCUUUACACAUGCAAGUCGAGCGAGCGGCGGACGGGUGCGUAAUGUAUGGGGACUGCCCGAUAGAGGGGGAUCACUACUGGAAACGGUAGCUAAUACCGCAUACUAUCGGAUAACCCAUAUGGGAUUAGCUAGUGGGUGAGGUAAUGACUACCCUAGGCGACGAUCCCUAGCUGAUCUGAGAGGAUGAUCGGCCACACUGGGACUGAGACACGGCCCAGACUCCUACGGAGGCAGCAGUGGGGAAUAUUGCACAAUGGGCGCAAGCCUGAUGCAGCCAUGCCGCGUGUAUGAAGAAGGCCCUAGGGUUGUAAAGUACUUUCAGUCGGGAGGCGUUACCGACAGAAGAAGCACCGGCUAACUCCGUGCCAGCAGCCGCGGUAAUUC
rnacentral:rRNA from 1 species